GCGCGGCGAAAAACCUUUCCACACAGUGUUUUUUGUUAUUACAAGAACUUUUGCUUUGGUCUGGACUAGAAAUAGUUUGGGCCAGAGGUUUACUGAACUAAACUUCAAUAUUUAUAUUGAAUUGUUAUUUAUUUAAUUGUCAAUUUGUUGAUUAAAUUCAAAAAAUCUUCAAAACUUUCAACAACGGAUCUCUUGGUUCUCGCAUCGAUGAAGAACGCAGCGAAAUGCGAUAAGUAAUAUGAAUUGCAGAUUUUCGUGAAUCAUCGAAUCUUUGAACGCACAUUGCGCCCUCUGGUAUUCCAGAGGGCAUGCCUGUUUGAGCGUCAUUUCUCUCUCAAACCUUCGGGUUUGGUAUUGAGUGAUACUCUUAGUCGAACUAGGCGUUUGCUUGAAAUGUAUUGGCAUGAGUGGUACUGGAUAGUGCUAUAUGACUUUCAAUGUAUUAGGUUUAUCCAACUCGUUGAAUAGUUUAAUGGUAUAUUUCUCGGUAUUCUAGGCUCGGCCUUACAAUAUAACAAACAAGUUUGACCUCAAAUCAGGUAGGAUUACCCGCUGAACUUAAGCAUAUAA
rnacentral:rRNA from 1 species